UGGGGAAUUUUGGACAAUGGGGGAAACCCUGAUCCAGCCAUCCCGCGUGUGCGAUGAAGGCCUUCGGGUUGUAAAGCACUUUUGGCAGGAAAGAAACGUCAUGGGUUAAUACCCCGUGAAACUGACGGUACCUGCAGAAUAAGCACCGGCUAACUACGUGCCAGCAGCCGCGGUAAUACGUAGGGUGCAAGCGUUAAUCGGAAUUACUGGGCGUAAAGCGUGCGCAGGCGGUUCGGAAAGAAAGAUGUGAAAUCCCAGAGCUAAACUUUGGAACUGCAUUUUUAACUACCGGGCUAGAGUGUGUCAGAGGGAGGUGGAAUUCCGCGUGUAGCAGUGAAAUGCGUAGAUAUGCGGAGGAACACCGAUGGCGAAGGCAGCCUCCUGGGAUAACACUGACGCUCAUGCACGAAAGCGUGGGGAGCAAACAGC
rnacentral:rRNA from 1 species